GGCAUAUUAUGCCCAGGCGGAGCUCGAUCGCCCAUUCAAGCGGUGAUCGCGUUCAUUGACGAUCACCGCAAUGUUUAUGGGGUCGAGCCGAUCUGCCGUGUCCUGCCGAUCGCCCCA
rfam:Novosphingobium barchaimii strain NS277 contig_13, whole genome shotgun sequence.